GACGAACGCUGGCGGCGUGCUUAACACAUGCAAGUCGAACGAAGUGGCGAACGGGUGAGUAACGCGUAAUCAACCUGCCCUUCAGAGGGGGAUAACAGUUGGAAACGACUGCUAAUACCCCAUACUGAAGGAGGGGAUUGCGUCUGAUUAGCUAGUUGGAGGGGUAACGGCCCACCAAGGCGAUGAUCAGUAGGCGGGCUGGGAGGAUGAACGGCCAAAAUGGGAAUGGGACAAGGCCCAGAAUCCUACGGGAGGCAGCAGUGGGGAAUCUUCGGAAAUGGACGAAAGUCUGACGGAGCAACGCCGCGUGAGUGAUGACGGCCUUCGGGGUGUAAAGCUAUGUUAAUCGGGACGCGGUACCGGAAUAGAAAGCCACGGCCAACUACGUGCCAGCAGCCGCGGUAAUUC
rnacentral:rRNA from 1 species